AUCGAACGCUGGCGGCAGGCCUAACACAUGCAAGUCGAACGAGUGGCGGACGGGUGAGUAAUGUCUGGGAAACUGCCUGAUGGAGGGGGAUAACUACUGGAAACGGUAGCUAAUACCGCAUACCAUCAGAUGCGCCCAGACGGGAUGAGCUUGUUGGUGGGGUAAAGGCUCAUCAAGGCGACGAUCCCUAGCUGGUCUGAGAGGAUGACGGGCCACACGGGAACUGGGACAGGGUCCAAAUUCCUAGGGGAGGCAGCAGUGGGGAAUAUUGCACAAUGGGCGCAAGCCUGAUGCAGCCAUGCCGCGUGUAUGAAGAGGGCCUUCGGGUGGUAAAGUACUUUCAGCGGGGAGGCGUUACCCGCAGAAGAAGCACCGGCUAACUCCGUGCCAGCAGCCGCGGUAAUUC
rnacentral:rRNA from 1 species